rnacentral:rRNA from 1 species
AGAGUUUGAUCAUGGCUCAGGACGAACGCUGGCGGCGUGCCUAACACAUGCAAGUGGAGCGACGAACCGGGCUUCGGCCCGGGGCAAAGCCGCGAACGGGUGAGUAACACGUGGGUAACCUGCCCCGAUGAUCGGGACAACCCGAGGAAACUCGGGCUAAUACCGGAUGUGCCCUCCGACCAUAAGGUCGCUGGGGAAAGGAAGCUUCGGCCUCCGCAUCGGGAUGGGCCCGCGGCGCAUUAGCUUGUUGGUGAGGUAACGGCUCACCAAGGCGACGAUGCGUAGCUGGUCUGAGAGGACGAUCAGCCACACUGGGACUGAGACACGGCCCAGACUCCUACGGGAGGCAGCAGUGGGGAAUCUUGCGCAAUGCGCGAAAGCGUGACGCAGCAACGCCGCGUGGGGGAAGACGGCCUUCGGGUUGUAAACCCCUUUCAGUUGGGACGAAGCUCAGGCGGUGAAUAGCCGUGCGGAGUGACGGUACCUUCAGAAGAAGCCCCGGCUAACUACGUGCCAGCAGCCGCGGUAAUACGUAGGGGGCAAGCGUUGUCCGGAAUCAUUGGGCGUAAAGAGCGUGUAGGCGGUUCGGUAAGUCCGCUGUGAAAGUCCAGGGCUCAACCCUGGAAUGCCGGUGGAAACUGUCGAGCUAGAGUCCGGAAGAGGCGAGUGGAAUUCCUGGUGUAGCGGUGAAAUGCGCAGAUAUCAGGAGGAACACCAAUGGCGAAGGCAGCUCGCUGGGACGGUACUGACGCUGAGACGCGAAAGCGUGGGGAGCAAACAGGAUUAGAUACCCCCGUAGUCC